UCUUACAUUUUCCGUCUAAGAGUGUGCUC
rnacentral:piRNA from 1 species